UACCAGCUCUCCGAGUGGUGUGGAUGUUUAUUGGGCCUAAAGCAUCCGUAGCUGGCUGGGCAAGUCCCCUGUUAAAUCCACCGAUUUAAUCGUUGGAGUGCGGGGGAUACUGUUCGGCUAGGGGACGGGAGAGGCAGACGGUAUUUUCGGGAUAGGGGUGAAAUCCUAUAAUCCCGGGAAGACCACCAGUGGCGAAGGCUGUCUGCUAGAACGCGCCCGACGGUGAGGGAUGAAAGCUGGGGGAGCGAACCGGAUUAGAUACCCGGGUAGUCCCAGCUGUAAACGAUGCAGGCUAGGUGUUUGGGCGGCCACGUGCCGCUCUAGUGCCGCAGGGAAGCCGUUAAGCCUGCCGCCUGGGGAUACGGCCGCAAGGCUGAAACUUAAGGAAUUGGCGGGGAGCACCACAAGGGGUGAAGCUUGCGGUUU
rnacentral:rRNA from 1 species